CUCAAAUUUGUGAUCUUCCUGAAUAGCUGAGAUCACAGGGCCAAGCCAACCAGACCACGACUGGGAUCCCAGCACCAGGCAGCAGGCUGAGGCCUGGGGAUCAUCCUGAGUUUCAAGCCAGCCUAGGCCACAUGAGAAGCUCCAGUCUUCACCUUCACCUUGGACAUCAUCUCCUGGCUUCCAGUGAGACUUCCAGCAUAGACUGACUCUUCAGCACCAACUCUUCAGCUGUCCAGCGCAGACCCUUCAGCCUUCCAUUGAAAACCCUUCGAUCUCCUGAUAUGGGCUGACAUGGGACACUACAAUUAGCUCCUGGCAUUUGACUGGAUCCUUUGAA